CCGGGGUACCAUGUGUGGGAGCCACCCUAAGAGAAACUGGCCCAGAAGAGAGGUGCUAACUAGGUGAGGACAUAUGACUCUCAGUACUGUUUCCUGCUUCUAAAGGGAGGGAGAUGCUGGCAUGGAGCCAGGAAACAGAAAAGGCAUGAAAGGAAGAGCUAAUUUGGAGCUGGCGGGGCUCUAUCAUUUCCUCAGAUUUCUACUUUGUCAUCCACAAUUGGUUUCAAUGGCAGUAGCUUGCACACCAAGCUAGGUCCUUGCUUUAGGAAGAAGAAGAAACUAGAAUCACAGCCUUUAAGGAAACACUCCAGCUUUCUGGCCUAGCUAUGAGCCUUUUGUGAUCAUCUGAGUAAGACAUAUUGAUUGGAUCUCUAUUGCUACAGCUCCAGCAACAGGACACACAAACAUGACGGAUGGAAGCCAAAAAAAUGUAUAAAGGAGAAGAAAAAGA